UACGUAGGGUGCGAGCGUUAAUCGGAAUUACUGGGCGUAAAGGGUGCGCAGGCGGCCGCGCAAGUCGAGUGUGAAAGCCCCGAGCUUAACUUGGGAAUUGCGCUCGAAACUACGUGGCUGGAGUGUGGCAGAGGAAGGUGGAAUUCCACGUGUAGCGGUGAAAUGCGUAGAGAUGUGGAGGAACACCAAUGGCGAAGGCAGCCUUCUGGGCCAACACUGACGCUCAUGCACGAAAGCGUGGGGAGUAAACAGG
rnacentral:rRNA from 1 species